GGGACGUAGGGAUGGGGGCGGAAGCCCGCUGGGCUUCACACUUUAUUUUGCGGUUCGGUGAAGAAGGGUGGGAUGCUCUCCCUGCCUGGUGCCUUCGCUCUCGAGGAGUCGCUUCGUCAUGAGGAAUCUAAAGUUGCUUCGGACCCUGGAGUUCAGGGACAUUCAGGCUCCCGGGAAACCUCAGUGCUUCUCUCUCCGAGGUGAACAGGGAACAGUGCUCAUUGGCUCGGAACAUGGACUGGUAGAGGUAGACGCUGUCACGAGAGAGAUGAAAAGUGUUUUGGUGAAAGGUGAAAGAUGGAAUUCCUUUGGUAGCUGAAGGCUUCCUCCCAGAGGUUGGAAGUGGCUGCAUCGUUCGUAUCCAGUACUUGCUGAAUCAAGAGUCUGUGUGUGUGGCCACAGCCUCUGGCGCUGUCAUACUUUGCAAUUUCAACACACAGCAGAAGUUUCCAGGCCAGGGGUUGAAUUGGAGCUGCAGCUGCGGGCCUGUGUUGGAGCCAUAGCAACCCCAGAUCUCAGCCCUAUCAGAAACCUAAGUUGCAGCUUGUGGCACUGUUGGAUCCUUAACCCACUGAGCAAGGCCAGGGGUUGAACCUGAAUCCUUAUGGACACUCUGUUGGGUUCUCAACCUGCCGAGUCACAACGGGAACUCGUAUGAACAUUUUAAAAUGUCUCUCUCGGCUGGAAUGUGUUGGAAAUGUUGCUAUUGGCAUCUCUGUCAUGAAUCGGAAUCCUGACCAAGAACUGGUGCUUUUUGCCACAGUUCAGCUCUGGACUGUUGGAAACUAUCACUGGUAUCUCAAGCAAAGCCUGCACUUCAGCUCCUGUGGGAAGAGCAAGAUUGUGUCUCUGAUGUGGGACCCGGUGGCCCCAUACCGGCUGCAUGUUCUCUGUCAAGGCUGGCAUUACCUCUGCUAUGAGUGGCACUGGACGACUGACCGGAGUUCGGGAGAUAAUCUGAGCGACAUGGCCAACGUGGCUGUGGUGGAUGGAAUUUCUGACAGCCAGGCUUCGAGGAAUGAAGAGUGAAGAAUGGAAGGAAAACAGUCUUCCUUGCCAGAGCCCUUCUAACUCGGGUGAGAGUCACUCUAGAAGGCUUAGUUUCCACUGGGUUCU